CAUCACGCUUGGUGCAAAGUCUUGUCUCGGGAAGCACAGUAGCUGGCCUAUGGUCUCCUCAUCAAAUCCUAAGACCUGACUUCUUCUCUUGAUGUACUCACAACGUUGCCCCUCCUUUAGGACCAAUGGAUGCCCCAGGAACUGGUUGAUGGCAUCUUCAUUAUAGGGGAUCCAUUGGCCCCGCACCCAGGAGCGCUUAUCCAUGACUUCUUCCUCGGUGGGCUAGGCAUUUGCAUAGAACUCCAUGACUAUCUCUGGAUCAAACUUAGC
rnacentral:misc_RNA from 1 species